UCAACUCCCUUGCUCAUACUAAACCUGGAAUGAUACAGAGAAGAUUAGCAUGGCCCCUGUAUAAGGAUGACACACAAAUUGGUAAAGUAUUGCAUGUUUUU
rnacentral:snRNA from 1 species